UGUUACCAAGUAUUAGGCUGAGGGUGCCAAUACAUUUGUCUAAAAUGAUUUUUUUUCUCCAUUCUCUUGUUUUUUCAUGGCAGGCAAAAUAAAGUUAUUGCUACCUAAGCAUUUGUAAUUGCGAUCAUUAUCUGACAGAAUUGCAGGGGUGCCAAAUGGUAAAUGGACUGUACUUAUAUAGCACAUUUAUCUGCAUGUUUACCAUGCCCAAAGCGCUUUACAUUAGCACACAUUUACCCGUUCACGCACACAUGCAAGGCGCCGUUAACCCAUUGGAGGCAAAUCAGGGUUAAGUGCCUUGCCCAAGGGCACUUCGACCGUGGGCAGUCUUAGCCGGGAAUCGAACCAUUGACCCUUCGGUCCAAGGACAACUCUAGCUACCAACUGUGCCACGGCCGCCCCGCCCAAUACCUUUGGCCAGCAGUGUAAGAAAUUAAUAAAACUCAUGUAGUUUGGAUUUUUUAACCCACCAUUUAAAGAAAAUGGACCUUUUUCUACAAUUAAGAACUAAUUCAAAUGUUUAUACACAUCCGAUAAAUCUGCAAAUAAUUAGAUGUUUAAAAUGCUUACCCCUGGAAAAGAUGUUAAUCCCCAAAUUUUUAAAUAUGAGCGCAAAAGUGCUAUUAGGCUUAAUACAUGCAUUUUUCCAAUUGUUGCGAUUUCAAAGAACAUGGAAAAACGCUUCAUGACAAUGUUUGGUGGGCCGUCCCUCAUUUUUCUACUGAAUUUAAAUGUAGGGCUCUUUGCAGUAGGCGCUAACGGCGAGUGGCACCUUGCGACUGAAGGUUACAAACUUCUCGGUGUGCUCGUUGACAAAGAUGUUGAUGCCCGCCUUGAGCAUGGCCUGCUGCAGGUCGGGCGCGCUCAUCCACUUGUCAAAAAGAUCGUGAUGCUGAGGUCUAUGAGCGCCCCUUGGAUGCUGUAGAGAGCUGAGUCUUUGCCAAGCGGGCGCAGCUCCCAGCGCCGAAAGGGAAAGUUGGCGUAGGUGCGCUGCAUCAACACAAAGGGGUAGAAGUGCUCCAUUUUGAAGGAGACCUUUGUCCCCCCACUGCUUUCCUCCUCUUCUUCCUCCUCCUCCUCAUCGUCAUCUUCAUCCUUUUCCACCUUCGGCACCCCCUCCUCUUCAACAUGUUCACGGAGUCAUUCCGUUACCUUCCGGAUCCCAGCGAGCCACUUGAGGAGUUUCCAGGAAGACCACCGAUUCUGGGAGUUUCACAGACAAGCUGACAAGUGUGGAGGCGGCUUCCUCAUCUUCUGGAUUUGGCUUCUCGGCAACAUACUUGAAGACUUUCAAGCCUGUGUCUGAUAUCUUUCCAGCAAAAGUUCCUCAUUUAUACAAAAAUGUCAUUCCGAAAUGUCACUUUGAAAUCACCUUUUGGAUUUCCCAGCCCUUGAUAUGAAAAGAUUGCGACGGAAGGUGGAAGAGCUCAUAGUAGAAGACCCCUCCCAGGGGCGUGUACAUUCUCAAAUCCACUACGUUGACAUGCUCGCGGUAUUCUGUCACAUCAUGUGGCGGUGGAGGAGUCUUUUCGUCUGAUAGUCUCUUCAUCCUGCUGUGCCUCCUCCACAUCUUGAGUCUCCUCUGGGGUCUCGUCAUCCUGCUUGACGGUCGCCUCCGGCGGAACGUCUUCGAAUACGGUCAUGAGGUGUAUCCCCUCCCCAAAUGGUGAACCGCUUCAUAUAGAGGUUCAAAACAAGGAUUUGACAUACCUGCGGGGGGCCGUGGUGGGUUUCAUGUGAGUCAACCUGCACACUAAGGAUAGGUGGUCGUAGCUGGUGUGGAGGACCCGCAGGGCGAUGUUGCUCGCUGCCAGCUGUUUGGUCAGCUCAAAGCCAAGGCCCACGCCUUUGAAAGUUAAACGUUUAAAUCUGUCACACAAAUACAAGAUAUCUGUAAUUCUCGAUGACUGUGGCUCACUUUUUAUGGCACUAGGGGUGUGACAAAAUAUCGAAAUGGUGAUGUAUCGUGAUACUUUGUAUACCCAAAGGUUAUCGAUAUGCUCCUGCCAAAAAUUGAGAUAUCGUUUUAAAAAAGUGUCAAUGUCUUAAAAAGGAAGCAACAAGUUGCUACCAAAAUCUUCCACCAUAAUAGUGUCUCGGUUAACUCUAAGGCUGCAUUGACUGUGCUCGACGCCCAAUUCAUUUAGACCAGAAACGUUCGUUCAUUCGAAACCAGAGCAUUCACAGUCAUUCUCUCCGAUUUUUAGGGCAUUUACGCUUCACUUGCUGUCAGAGGUGAAACUGGGCCAGAACAGACAGGAACGCAGUUCCGGUAUAAGAUUCAGGGCCGGAUGCGUUCCGGUAUAAGAUUCAGGGCCGGAGUGCUGUUCCGGUACACGGUGCUUUGAUUCCAAAAAUGUGACGGCAAAUGUAAAAAAAUAAUAAAUGCUAAGCUGCCACACAUGCAUUUCAUCUCCAAGAAGAAAUCAAUUUACCAACAUCAGAUUUACAUACACAUGUGUUAACAACCAGCACAAUAAAGGGCUUGUAUAGCGUAAUCCGUUUCCACUGAUAUUUAUUAUUUAUUUUAUGGACGAUGUCACGUCAAUGUGCGAAUGCAUGCAGCAAAGCAAAACGCCUGGACUCAUUUAUCCAUUCAACUGGCUGACAUACGGACAUGUGAUCACCAGAGAUGGUUAGCUCUGAUUGGUUCAAAUAUGCAUGUUUUCUGAAACAGCAAAAAAAAAAAAAAAAAAAUUGAUGCAACAAAAAAAAAGGGCAAAAUGCGACAGAAAAUGGAUAAAAUCUUUAAGAGCAAGGCAAGAGUUAAGGAAGCUUAUUUAUCAUAUUUAGUUUUAUCUGCUCAGAUGGGGAGGUUUUGAACAUCUUAGCUGUCAAUGUGCACUUUGGACUUAUAUUUGUUCAUUUAUGUUAGGCUACUUAUUCAUUUCCUAAUGAUUUAAAAAAGUCAAUGUUUGCGUGAUCUUCAAACUAUAUUCCAUUUCACUGCAUAAUAUAAGUCAUUUGUACUUAUUUUUCUGAAUGUAUGUUACUUAUAUUUGUAUUAUUAAAAAACACAACAAAAAGUAAAUGUUUACAUGAAUUUCAAUUUUAAUCUACAGUACAUCUUAUGUUCUUAAGUAGUAAGGAUUUGGC